rnacentral:rRNA from 1 species
UACGUAGGGUGCAAGCGUUAUCCGGAAUUAUUGGGCGUAAAGAGCUCGUAGGUGGCUUGUUGCGUCUGCCGUGAAAGCCCGUGGCUUAACUACGGGCUGCGGUGGAUACGGGCAGGCUAGAGGCUGGUAGGGGCAAGCGGAAUUCCUGGUGUAGCGGUGAAAUGCGCAGAUAUCAGGAGGAACACCGGUGGCGAAGGCGGCUUGCUGGGCCAGUUCUGACGCUGAGGUGCGAAAGCGUGGGGAGCAAACAGG